UCCAGACUCCUACGGGAGGCAGCAGUGGGGAAUAUUGGGCAAUGGGCGCAAGCCUGACCCAGCAACGCCGCGUGAAGGAAGAAGGCUUUCGGGUUGUAAACUUCUUUUGUCAGGGACGAAGCAAGUGACGGUACCUGGCGAAUAAGCCACGGCUAACUACGUGCCAGCAGCCGCGGUAAUACGUAGGUGGCAAGCGUUAUCCGGAUUUACUGGGUGUAAAGGGCGUGUAGGCGGGACUGCAAGUCAGAUGUGAAAACCACGGGCUCAACCUGUGGCCUGCAUUUGAAACUGUAGUUCUUGAGUACUGGAGAGGCAGACGGAAUUCCUAGUGUAGCGGUGAAAUGCGUAGAUAUACGGAGGAACACCAGUGGCGAAGGCGGAUUGCUGGACAGUAACUGACGCUGAGGCGCGAAAGCGUGGGGAGCAAACAGGAUUAGAUACCCCAGUAA
rnacentral:rRNA from 1 species